rnacentral:rRNA from 1 species
GAUGAACGCUGGCGGCGUGCCUAAUACAUGCAAGUCGAGCGAACAGAUGAGGAGCUUGCUCCUCUGACGUUAGCGGCGGACGGGUGAGUAACACGUGGAUAACCUACCUAUAAGACUGGGAUAACUUCGGGAAACCGGAGCUAAUACCGGAUAAUAUAUUGAACCGCAUGGUUCAAUAGCGAAAGACGGUUUUGCUGUCACUUAUAGAUGGAUCCGCGCCGCAUUAGCUAGUUGGUAAGGUAACGGCUUACCAAGGCAACGAUGCGUAGCCGACCUGAGAGGGUGAUCGGCCACACUGGAACUGAGACACGGUCCAGACUCCUACGGGAGGCAGCAGUAGGGAAUCUUCCGCAAUGGGCGAAAGCCUGACGGAGCAACGCCGCGUGAGUGAUGAAGGUCUUCGGAUCGUAAAACUCUGUUAUUAGGGAAGAACAAAUGUGUAAGUAACCAUGCACGUCUUGACGGUACCUAAUCAGAAAGCCACGGCUAACUACGUG